CCUGGCGUGCCUGGAUUCGCAUCCAGCGUGCCCGCCAGAGGACCCCUAAACUCUGAAUGUUAGUGUCGUCUGAGUACUAUUAAAUAGUUAAAACUUUCAACAACGGAUCUCUUGGUUCUGGCAUCGAUGAAGAACGCAGCGAAAUGCGAUAAGUAAUGUGAAUUGCAGAAUUCAGUGAAUCAUCGAAUCUUUGAACGCACAUUGCGCCCCUUGGUAUUCCGGGGGGCAUGCCUGUUCGAGCGUCAUUUAUACCAAUCUAGCCUGGCUAGGUGUUGGGCUUCGCCGUCUGGCGGGCCUUAAAACCAGUGGCGGUGCUCUCAGGCUCUACGCGUAGUAAUUUUUCUCGCUAUAGGGUCCUGGGAGAUGCUUGCCAGCAACCCCAAAUUUUUCAGGUUGACCUCGGAUCAGGUAGGGAUACCCGCUGAACUUAAGCAUAUCAAUAAGCGGAGGAAAAGAAACCAACAGGGAUUACCUCAUUAACGGCGAGUGAAGCGGUAACAGCUCAAAUUUGAAAUCUGGCUCUUUUAGGGUCCGAGUUGUAAUUUGUAUAAGAUGCUUUGGGUGUGGCCCUGGUCUA
rnacentral:rRNA from 1 species